rnacentral:lncRNA from 1 species
AUGAGGGACAGCUCCAGCCCCCCUAAAAGCCCCAGGAUCCCCCAAACCGCCCCCCCACUCCCCCAAAAUAUCGGGACCCCCCCAGCCCCCAAAUCCCCACUGGGGGCCCCAGUUUACCCAGUUGGUUCAUCCUGGGCCUCCCCAGUCCACUUCCAGUUCACCCAGUUGCAGCCCAGCACGCCCAGUUCCACUCUGACACUCCCAAACUGGAUCCCAGUAUCCCCCAGUCCACCUCCCGUCCACUCCCAGUCCCCCCAGCUGAGCCCCAGCAACCCCCAGUCAUCCCCCUCCUGCCCCCCCAGGCUUCCCAGUCCCAUCCCAGUCCCCCCAGCUGCUCACCAGUGCCCCCCAGUUAAACCCCAGCAUCCCUCAGUCCCCCCUCCAACCCUACUCCAGACCCCCGGGCUGGAUCCCAGCUCCCCCCGCAUCCCCUCCCAGUCUCUCAAUCCCCUCCCAGUCCCCUCCAGUCCCUUCCCAGUCCCUCACAAUGCGGCCACAGCAUUCCCCAGCCCCCCCCCAAUCCCGUCCCAGUCCCCCCAGCUGGCUCCCAGCUCCCCCACCAUCCCCUCCCAGUCGCCCCCAGUCCCUCCCAGUCCCCCCCCAUCCCAUUCCAGUCCCUCCUGGCUGGAUCCCAGCCCUCCCCCAUCCCCCCAUUCCCCCAUCCCAACCCUCCCAGUCUCCCCAGCUGGGUCUUGGCUUCUUCUCCGUCCUCUCCCAGUCCCUCCCAGCCCCCCCAGUCCCAUCCCAGUCCCCCCAGCUGGGUCCCAGCUCCCUCUCCGUCCCCUCCCAGUCCCCCGAACCGGGUCCCAGCUCUCUCUCCAUCCCCUCCCAACCCCCCCCAAUCCCAUCCCAGUCCCCUGCGACGAGACCCCAGCAUCCCCCACUGCUCCCCCAAACCCUCCCAGUCCCCCCCAGUUGGACCACAGCCUCCCCAACCGGAUCCCAGUUCCCCCCCCCAUCCCCUCCCAGCCAUCCCAGUGCCCCCCAGUCCCUCCCAGUGCCCCCCAGUCCGGCCCCGCCGCCCCCCCCCGCCCUGCAGCACCCGCUGCCGCUCGCAGAAUACUAAUAGGGCAGGCGGGCGGUGCGGCGGGGCCGGCUGUCCGUCUGUCCCUGUCCCCGUGUCCCUCUGUCCCCGUGUCCCGCUGUCCCUGCCCCUCCGGACCCCUCCGGACCCCCCCAGACCCCCCCGGACCCCUCCGGACCCCCUCGGGGGGUAUCGGGGUGUCCCAGCCCGCGGGGAAAGGGAGGAGAGGGGGGGGUUUGGCUGUUGUGGGGUGUUGGGGGUGGGGACCGUGGCGGAUUUGGGGUGUCGGGGUGCUGCUGGGGUGUUGUUGGGGUGUUGUUGGGGUGUCGGGGGGAUGCUGUUGGGGUUUGUAG